UGCCACUCACUCCUUUGCUCUCUGCUU
rnacentral:piRNA from 1 species